AAAGGGGUCACUGCCUCACACAUUGGUAGAAGAAUGUGUGUAUGGGAAACAUCAUUCUGCUUGCACCUUGGACAGAAGUUGAAUGGAAUUUGUUUUCCUGAUUCUUUAAAUGGGGUUUACGGAGAGAAUGGAGGAGGGGCUGGUUAGCUCGGAGGAGGAUGAGAUGGAUUGGACUCGGGUGAGGGAGGAAUUGGGUGCCACUGGCAAUGAUGGGAUGGAAGAUGAAUGGGGACCUUCAGGAUUAGACCCAUGGACAAGCUGGAGGGAUGGGACGGGAUCCACAGCUGGGGAUGCUGUGGGGCGUAGUCAGAGGUGUUCCAGCUCUGAUGAGGAAAGUGAUGAGGAAACGCCCGGGUUAAGGAGGGCAGCUGAUAGUGAUGAGGAUUUGUAACUGGCAUAAAAUGGGGCUUGGGAGCAAUUGCAAAUUGCGUUGGGCAAGGUAAUCUGGACGAACGCUUGGGAUCUGUGUGGGACGCUUUCCUGAAGACUGGUGUGUUUUCGUGUGCUGAUACCUUUGACCUUCCGUCGUCUUCUUGACGGACGCCAUCUCCUGCUUUGGAUUUCGGACUGAACUGACCACGGCUUGACUUCCCCCUACUCGGACUUGGUGAAAACUACAAACGUCUGCUUCUGGCUUGAACUACGGAAAGGAACUGGGUCUACUCUACUGCUUCAAUCCUCGGCUGAUCUGUGUGUAUUGGAAAUCUUGCCUGCUGUGUGGAGGAGUGACUCAAGUUACUCAAAGCACAGUGCUGGCAGCAGAGAGGAAUCUGCUGCCAUUUAAUUGCAUUCUUUUGAACACUUUGUUCCCCGGCUUCUGUUUUGUUUAUCCCCAGGCUGAAGCAAGCUGUUUUGUUUUUACCCGGAUUAAACUCCGGUUUAAUCCGGUUUAUCUUUUGAACGUUUUUCCUUGCCCCUUUUUGCUUUUAAAGGCUAAUACUGCCUGGCCCUUGUAUUUUACGGGCAUUUUGAGUUCUGUUAUCCAAUAAACUCUGUUAUCUUUGA